AAUGCCCCUUUGCCCGUCUUGCCAUUCUCUUGCGCAGAAAAGCUCAUUGAUCUUCUAAAGCAGACAAGACGAAACGCUGGUCAGACAAUCAUCUUCUGCAACACCGUGCACUCUGCUGACUGGGUUGCAUCAGCGCUCAGCGAGCGCAUGUUCAACAUUACCAAGCUGCACAGUGGCUGCUCAUCCAAAGAACGGCGAAUUCGCUAUGACUUAUUCAACACUGGUGAGGCGCAAAUCUUGGUGUGCACGGACGUGGUUGGCCGUGGACUGGAUACAAUGAGAGUGUCUCACGUGAUCAAUGUCGACUUUCCUGUGGGUAUGGCUGAGUUCUUGCAUCGCAGUGGCCGUGUAGGUCGUGUUGGAACGGAACUGAAGGGACGCUGUACCACAUACGUUGUAAAGACCAGGGAUCAAAGAAGCGCCAACAUCAUAAAGGUUGGUGGGUUGGAGCCUCUUUUCUUGUUCAGUGUG